AGUCUUCAGUUCCGCUAUCAAUAAGCUAGUGACCACAUUUACACCAAAAAUCACUUAGUCGAGAUAGGUUGAGGGCUAGCGAACGGAAUAUACACCAAAAUUCGCUUAGUCUCGCCGGUAUCCCCGAUCUAGUGACCAAAUUUACACAAAAGCCACUUAGUCUGCCAGGACACCGGUAUCCAGCUGAACAAAUAUACACCAAAAUUCAGCCUGACUACAAUCCUCCUAUAUUAAAGAACACUUCAGCUUAAUGAAGUGGUGUGGGUGCCAGGUCC